rnacentral:rRNA from 1 species
GGAAGACCACCAGUGGCGAAGGCGGCUGUCUGGUCUGUAACUGACGCUGAGGCUCGAAAGCAUGGGUAGCGAACAGGAUUAGAUACCCUGGUAGUCCAUGCCGUAAACGAUGAUUACUAAGUGUUGGAGGGUUUCCGCCCUUCAGUGCUGCAGCUAACGCAUUAAGUAAUCCGCCUGGGGAGUACGACCGCAAGGUUGAAACUCAAAAGAAUUGACGGGGGCCCGCACAAGCGGUGGAGCAUGUGGUUUAAUUCGAAGCUACGCGAAGAACCUUACCAGGUCUUGACAUCUUCUGCCAACCUAAGAGAUUAGGCGUUCCCUUCGGGGACAGAAUGACAGGUGGUGCAUGGUUGUCGUCAGCUCGUGUCGUGAGAUGUUGGGUUAAGUCCCGCAACGAGCGCAACCCUUAUUACUAGUUGCCAGCAUUCAGUUGGGCACUCUAGUGAGACUGCCGGUGACAAACCGGAGGAAGGUGGGGACGACGUCAAAUCAUCAUGCCCCUUAUGACCUGGGCUACACACGUGCUACAAUGGAUGGUACAACGAGUCGCGAAACCGCGAGGUUUAGCUAAUCUCUUAAAACCAUUCUCAGUUCGGACUGUAGGCUGCAACUCGCCUACGCGAAGUCGGAAUCGCUAGUAAUCGCGGAUCAGCAUGCCGCGGUGAAUACGUUCCCGGGCCUUGUACACAUCGCCCGUCACACCAUGAGAGUUUGUAACACCCAAACCCGGUGCGGUAACCUUUUAGGAGCUAGCCGUCUAAGGUGGGACAGAUGAUUAGGGUGAAGUCGAAUCAAGGUAGCCCUAGG